CUCCAGGCUGUUGCUGCAGAGGAAAGGGGAGAGCCACAAUCCCUAACUCCUCUGGAGAGAAUUCUUCCUAAAGAAGCAUCAAACCCCUCCCCCUGCAAGUAGCGGACGCCAGCACCUUCUGCCGCCCCCCUCGAACCACAAACGGCUUUUUCCUGAAGACAGAGAUGGGAAACCAGGAGUUGCCGACAGGGGAGCUCCAGGGGCCCCAGAAGCCCUACUAGAAUCUCACUUUACAGAUAAGGAAACCGAGGCCCAAAGGAACAUCAAAGGCUUGGACAGAUUAUGUACCAAUUUGCUACUUGUCAUCUCUAGACUAGGCUCCUGAUUUUGAAUGUAGCCAUUAUCUAGAACUAUUGCAUCCUUGGGAAGAGCAAGGACGGUUCUACUUUUGUCUUUGACUCUCCAGAUCUUAGCCCAGCGCCUGGUGCAUAGGAGGUGCUGGACCUGGUGCAGGAAGCCCUCCAUCCCAAGUCCGUCUUCAAGCACCUGAAGGCUGUGUGACCUUGAGCAAGCCCCUUUACUUUGCCUAGCCUCAGUUUCCUCACCUGUAAAAGGGAGAUAAUAAAAGCACCAUCUUCUCAGAUAUUAUGGAGGAUAAAAUUUCACAUGUGUAAAUAUUUACAUAUUUAAAGAACACGGGAAAUCUUAAAGUGACGAAUCAAUGUCAGCAAUUAUGCUAA